rnacentral:lncRNA from 1 species
ACCUUAGACUUAUGUUCAAGACUUGAUAAAAGCUCAUUCAGAUUUGGUGCUAGAACAUUUUUUAAAUAAGCAAGGUCAUUUUUAUGUGUGUGGAGAUGUUACUAUGGCAUCAGAUGUUCAAAAAACCAUGACGGAUAUUAUAAUGGAAAACUUAAAGUGUAGUGAACAGUAUUGCAAAGAUUUUGUUCACGAUUUAAAGAAAAACGGACGUUAUCAUGAAGACAUUUUUGGUGUUACAUUAAAUAUAAGACACAUAACAUCAUCUAUUAGAUCGCUUUCUUAUCGGUGCGAAACAUAUGAAGACGAUGGAGUGUUUAUAUAAAUCUCAAGUUGAGUCAUCAAAGAGCAAAAAAA